rnacentral:rRNA from 1 species
GACGAACGCUGGCGGCGUGCUUAACACAUGCAAGUCGAACGGAAAGGCCCUGCUUUUGCGGGGUGCUCGAGUGGCGAACGGGUGAGUAACACGUGAGUAACCUGCCCUUGACUUUGGGAUAACUUCAGGAAACUGGGGCUAAUACCGGAUAGGAGCUCCUGCUGCAUGGUGGGGGUUGGAAAGUUUCGGCGGUUGGGGAUGGACUCGCGGCUUAUCAGCUUGUUGGUGGGGUAGUGGCUUACCAAGGCUUUGACGGGUAGCCGACCUGAGAGGGUGACCGGCGACAAUGGGACUGAGAUACGGCCCAGACUCCUACGGGAGGCAGCAGUGGGGAAUAUUGCACAAUGGGCGGAAGCCUGAUGCAGCAACGCCGCGUGCGGGAUGACGGCCUUCGGGGUGUAAACCGCUUUCGCCUGUAACGAAGCGUGAGUGACGGUAAUGGGUAAAGAAGCACCGGCUAACUACGUG